UUAUUCAAAUUUAUUUAAAGAAAAUAAAAUAACAAAAACGCUAUUUCAAUGACAUAAUCAAACUCAUAUUUUUGUCACACUUGUUUCAGGAUGGUUUUUCUUAUAUUUUUCUUCUUUUCAAUCAUUAUUAUUUUUUCCUCUGUUUUAUUCAAUUCACAAUUUAAUUUCAUUUGAAUUUUUUGUUUUUCGUCGGAUAAAUCUUCGAUUUAUAAAAAGAACCUUAAUCUUUUCAACAUGACAAACAUUUUGCUUUUAACUUUCCAUGUACUUUGCCUGGCUCGCUGUUUAACGUGGUGUGUGGGUAUUUUAUCCUUAUAUGUUAUAAAUUCAUGUCACAAUCUCAUUUUCUAAUACAUUUUAUAUUGCUAAUCAAAUGAUGGGUUUUAAAUGUUUUUUUUUAAUUAAACGGUGGGAAAUUGUGUGAUGGCCAUUCAAUGGUGUGUGUGUGUGUCAAAAUACCGCCUCACAUUUUUUUAUUAGAAUUUUGAUUCAAUCAAAUUGUUUAAUGAAUCUUAAUUUUGCUUUCGUCGUCGCUAUAUGUUUUUUUUUGUGCUACAGCCUGAAAAUGGGGAACGAACACAUCCCAGAAAACAUUCUGGCUUGUGAAUGAUAUUCCAUUUGUUUUGCUUGAAUAAUGUUUUGUUUGAACCAAUGCUUUUUCUGAUGUUUUUUUGAAUCAUUCUAACUCCAUACUCAUUCGACGUUGCAAUUUUUGACAAAAACAAUAAAAAACAAAUAGAAAGAAGCCUGCCGAGAAUGGACAAAAGUUUUAGAUCACGUGCAAAAACUAUUUGUAAAUAGUAAUGGUGUGCUUUUGUUAUCAGUUGGACACUAUGUUAAAUUUCAUCCACUUAAAAACAAAAUUUUCAUAUCGUUAGUACUAAAACCAAAAAAAAAAAAAAUCGCCAA